rnacentral:rRNA from 1 species
GGCUCAUCUCAUCCUGGGGCUGAAGCAGGUCCCAAGGGUAUGGCUGUUCGCCAUUUAAAGAGGUACGCGAGCUGGGUUUAGAACGUCGUGAGACAGUUCGGUCCCUAUCUACCGUGGGCGCUGGAAAUUUGAGAGGAUCUGCUCCUAGUACGAGAGGACCAGAGUGGACGAACCUCUGGUGUACCGGUUGUGACGCCAGUCGCAUCGCCGGGUAGCUAUGUUCGGAAGGGAUAACCGCUGAAAGCAUCUAAGCGGGAAGCCUACCUCAAGAUAAGAUUUCCCUAGGACUUUAUGUCCUCUAAAGAGCCGUUCGAGACUAGGACGUUGAUAGGUUGGAUGUGGAAGCAUAGUGAUAUGUGAAGCUGACCAAUACUAAUUGCUCGUGAGGCUUGACUAU